rnacentral:rRNA from 1 species
ACUAACAGGAUUCUCUUAGUAACGGCGAGUGAAAAGAGAUUAGCCCAACAUCGAAGCUUACAUACAUUUUGUACGUCAAGCCAUGUGAUGUUAAGGGGUUCGCUAUCGCAGACUGACCGACUUGAAGUCCAAUUUUGAAUGUGGCAAUUUGUGUAAACCCAUAGAUGGUGAAAGGCCCGUUCAGGUUGGUUAUUAGAUGAGACAGUACUGUGUGUUCGCGUUCCUCUAAGAGUCGGAUUGCUUGUGAAUGCAGUCCAAAGUUGGUGGUAAACUCCAUCAAAGGCUAAAUACCUGUACGAGUCCGAUAGUUAACAAGUACCGUGAGGGAAAGUUGAAAAGUACUCUGAAGAGAGAGUAAACAGUACGUGAAACUACUUGGAGGUUAACCAGAUAGAGUCAAGCUGCUU